ensembl:snoRNA
CCUCCGGUUCUUGGCAGGCCCGGCGUUCCGUGCCCGGUUCUGGAUGGGCGGAGGUAGAGCAGCGCUCGGCCCGGUGCGGCGUCUUCGGUAGCCGCGGCGCUCCGCGGGGUUCUGCCCUCCCGCGCCGGGACACGC